rnacentral:rRNA from 1 species
GAUGAACGCUGGCGGCGUGCCUAAUACAUGCAAGUCGAGCGAACAGACGAGGAGCUUGCUCCUCUGACGUUAGCGGCGGACGGGUGAGUAACACGUGGAUAACCUACCUAUAAGACUGGGAUAACUUCGGGAAACCGGAGCUAAUACCGGAUAAUAUAUUGAACCGCAUGGUUCAAUAGUGAAAGACGGUUUUGCUGUCACUUAUAGAUGGAUCCGCGCCGCAUUAGCUAGUUGGUAAGGUAACGGCUUACCAAGGCAACGAUGCGUAGCCGACCUGAGAGGAUGAUCAGCCACACGGGAACUGAGACACGGUCCAGACUCCUACGGGAGGCAGCAGUGGGGAAUCUUGCACAAUGGGCGAAAGCCUGACGGAGCAAUGCCGCGUGAGUGAAGAAGGCCGUCGGAUCGUAAAGCCCUGUUAUUGGGAAAGAAAAAAAGUGGAAGUAACUACGCACGUCUUGACGGUACCUAAAGAGAAAGCAACGGCUAACUACGUG